UACGAAGGGGGCUAGCGUUGCUCGGAAUCACUGGGCGUAAAGCGCACGUAGGCGGACUCUUAAGUCAGGGGUGAAAUCCUGGAGCUCAACUCCAGAACUGCCUUUGAUACUGAGAGCCUUGAGUCCGGAAGAGGUAAGUGGAACUGCGAGUGUAGAGGUGAAAUUCGUAGAUAUUCGCAAGAACACCAGUGGCGAAGGCGGCUCACUGGCCCGGUACUGACGCUGAGGUGCGAAAGCGUGGGGAGCAAACAGG
rnacentral:rRNA from 1 species